rnacentral:misc_RNA from 1 species
UUUCCGUUGGUGAACCAGCGGAGGGAUCAUUACAGAGUUUAUUAUAACUCCUAAACCCAUGUGAACCUACCUUCUGUUGCCUCGGCAGGCAAGUCGUAUCUUGCUACCCUAUAGGACCCUAUCUUGUAAGACGUUACCUUAUGAGGUCCUAUCCGGUAGAGAGAUGCGGUACUACCUGCCGGUGGACUGAAAAAAAAUUCUGCUUAAUAAAUGGUAUUCUGAAUCAUUAUAUGGAAAUUAAGUUAAAACUUUCAACAACGGAUCUCUUGGUUCUG